rnacentral:rRNA from 1 species
GAUGAACGCUGGCGGCGUGCCUAAUACAUGCAAGUCGAGCGAACAGACGAGGAGCUUGCUCCUCUGACGUUAGCGGCGGACGGGUGAGUAACACGUGGAUAACCUACCUAUAAGACUGGGAUAACUUCGGGAAACCGGAGCUAAUACCGGAUAAUAUAUUGAACCGCAUAGUUCAAUAGUGAAAGACGGUUUUGCUGUCACUUAUAGAUGGAUCCGCGCCGCAUUAGCUAGUUGGUAAGGUAACAGCUUACCAAGGCAACGAUGCGUAGCCGACCUGAGAGGGUGAUCGGCCACACUGGAACUGAGACACGGUCCAGACUCCUACGGGAGGCAGCAGUAGGGAAUCUUCCGCAAUGGGCGAAAGCCUGACGGAGCAACGCCGCGUGAGUGAUGAAGGUCUUCGGAUCGUAAAACUCUGUUAUUAGGGAAGAACAAAUGUGUAAGUAACUAUGCACGUCUUGACGGUACCUAAUCAGAAAGCCACGGCUAACUACGUG